rnacentral:tRNA from 1 species
AAAAUUUAGUUAAUUCAUAACAUUAACUUGUCAAGUUAAAAUAAUUAUUUAUAAUAAUUUUU